UUAAUCUGAAACAGUUCGUUAUGUCGCGUCACAAUUUUGACCAACAAAAAACAAACCAAUUAGAUUGUUGUUUUUGAGACCAUUAAUACUUUUUUUACAUUCGUUGAUUUCGAAUAAAUGCAUAAAUCAGUAAUAUUAUAUAACGGCGUGAAAAUGACUUUGAAAAUACUUAUAGCUUCUGCAGUCACACUGAAUUUGACAAAUAGAAAAGUUGGAGGAGACAAAAGUGGUGGUAUAUUGAGUUUGGCCAUUGGUCCAUUGGUGUAAAAAUGAGACUAAUGGAAAUACUGGGUUUUGGGUUUGUUGCUGUUUUUGGUGGGGAAGGAGGGUAUUGGUCCCUUGGUACACGUCUAACCCCGCGUUCCUCCCUCAAUCAGAGUCACCCCGAGUACGUGGCGUUAUUUGCUGGUCUUCGUCACCCUGAAAAUCUAGGUCACAUCACCAAAUGCGCCCCACACGCUUAACCUCCAUAUUCAUCACUUGCAUUUGACUCUUACGAUAUAAACAUACAUACGUGCGUGCGUACAGAUAUGGUGUGGAUCUAAUAAUUAAUCUUCAUUUGAAAAAAAUGGAGAUUUUCCCUUAAAGGCUUCCUUUAAAAAUUGGUGAGUGAAAUCCAUGGUGCAAUUGAAAACGAAUGUCACAGAAAGCCAUUCAACUUUUUAAUUUAAGUUUAUAAUCCCUAAUGAAUGAAAGUAAAUAUUGUGCGCAGUGCAUGCAAUUC
rnacentral:lncRNA from 1 species